AUGACCUGGGCUCUUCUCCUGCUCAGCCUCCUCAGUCAGGGCCCAGGAAUCAGGGCCCAGAAUGUCCUGACUCAGCCUCCCUCAGUGUCUGGGACUCCAGGACAGACAGUCACCAUCUCCUGUACAGGAACCAGCAAUGACAUUGGAGCAUAUAACUAUGUCUCCUGGUACCAGCAGCAGGAGGGCACAGCCCCCAAAAUGCUGAUAUAUGAUGUCAAUAAUCGGCCGUCAGGGAUCCCUGAUCGCUUUUCUGGCUCCAAGUCUGGCAACACAGCGACCCUGACCAUCUCUGGGCUCAAGCCUGAGGAUGAGGCUGAUUACUACUGUGGCCAAUAUUUCUCCUCCUCAACUCUCUACAUAAAAAAAAAAAAAGUACAGUCCAUGUCAACACAUUUGCCUUGUUAG